rnacentral:lncRNA from 1 species
UAGAGGUGAGGAGGACUAAUAUCACCUCAGUUCAUAGACGAAACUAGGAUGUUCGUGGAUGGGCUUGGGAUACUUAUGGACAGACCAACAUCCCUAACACUCUCAUGAUAAGCAAUCUCAACUUUCCCUAAUGCCACUUAAAGACAUUUUGCCUCCCUAGCCUAUUAAAGUCCACCACGACAUGAAAUGAGGGCAGUGUUGACCAUAACACAUCCCAUUUUAUUGACGCCUUCAUGGAUAAUCAUUGGAGUCUCUUGUACCAAGUAAUGAAUCUAUGUUGACCAUAACACAUCCCGUUUUAUUGACGCCUCGUCUUUUUUUUCUUUUUUUUUUUUGCCCCAAGUGAAUCCAAAUCUAUACCAAUCAUAUAUGCCUCGAAUAUCGAAGCGCAUAAUGCAUUGAAUUUCAUGGACAUCUCGAAAAAAACAACUAGUAGGUGUGAUAAAACAACGCAUAAUGGACAUAUACCAUCUCAUGCAAGUAUUUACAUCAAUCAUCGGGUGCUGCUCUAGCAUUGUCCAUUUUUCUCUAUGUUCAACUUCUAUCCAUACUCUAAUCACAUCAUCGGUCCCCCAUCAUAUCCUUGUAUAAAAUGGCAAACUCCUAUUUUGAAGGAUUUAUACAUAUUCUAUGCAGCAUAUUUUUCAAGGCAACAUUUCUAAACUUAGUGCUUAAGUUACACACAAAGUGUCGAUGAUAUCUAAUAGGCUCAAGAAAAAUAUGUGCCAUGAAAUUCUUAAUCGCCACAUGUCUAUAUGAUAUAAUACAUAACUUGGUGCAACCACCAAUUACAUAUUGAAGAAGUAAAUCUAAAAAACAACUUUAAUUAUUGCUUGUCUCUUCUUCGACAAUAACUAAGCACAGCAGAUAAACUUUAUUGUUCGCAUCAUAAACAACUGCAACUAAAAACUUUGUCAUGUACUUAUCAUAAAGGUGAGUGUCGUCAAUAUUAAUUAGAGGAUGACAAUAUUAAAACCCAUCCAUUGAAGCAUUAAAUGCCUAAAAUGUUCUCCCAAAUGUUGCCAAAUUGCCACCGAUCAUUUUAUGAUCCUAAAUGCUAUUUUUUCUUGGAUUUGAAUCCUUGAUGGAUAGUAGCAUUUUAUGUAGGUUUUGAAAUGACUUUUUAUGUGUACCAAACAACCCUCAAAUAUUUUCUGCUAAGCCAUUCAUGCCUUCCAAUAUGAGAUUUCAUGCUCAUAAUCGCUCUCCAUAAUACCUUGAAUCGUUAAGACACUUGUAUUUGUAUCUCUUUUUAUAAUUGCUGACAUCACCUCAACAAUGAAACUUAAGUCAAUCUAAUGAUAGUGUUGCAAAACAAGAGGGUUUUGACAUAUGUGUUGUCCUUUUCAGUUUUGAAAUUUUCCAUUAAUUAGACCUUUGGUGAUACUCCCUCACGCGAAUACCAUCUGCAAAUUGUUUCUUGAACCCAUUGCAACUAAACAUAAGUUUUAGUUGAACGAUGGACCUUGUACUGCAAUGAUUUCUUUAUAUGCCACUGUUUAACUAUAGUAAUACGUCCAGACAUGUUUUUGAUUUAUUUUUCAAUCUCCAAUUCAUCAAUUGAUAAGCGCGAAUACCUAUAACUAUUAGCCUAGUCAUUGCAUCCGUAUUGGUCAUCCACACUCACAACCUCGAAUUCAUGAGGAUGAGUAGUCAUGUAUUGAUUAACAAGCUCAACCAACUUAGCAUCCCCGUCUUUUCUAUCUUCUUCAUCUCCCCCCUCAACCUCAUCUCUAUCAAUGUAAUGGUCAUCUUCAUCGUUACUUGGUUAAAAUUAUUCAUAGAAAUAUGAAGCAUAUGUCAUAUCCAAUUGAGGUUUCAUAUUAAUAAUUUUUUGUACCACUAUUUGUAUCUUUGCAUUACCACCUCGCCUAAAUGGACCAGUUGCUCGUGAUGCUUAUAUGGUUCUCUGAGAGUUACUUGAAAACCGAGUCAACUCUAUACUAGAGGGAUUUCUUCAUCUAGGUAUACUAUUCAAAUAAAGCUAUAACAUAUUAAUCUCAUUAAUCCUCAUAAACCCAAACAUUGAAUUCACGCUUUCAUCACUAUAUAUUGGUACACUGACAUAACGAGCUUGACUGACCCUGGUUUGCAAUACCUCUUAAAUAAUUUCAACUUCUAUUUCAAACAUAUUAUAACUAGGCCAAUCACAUAACAUUAUAGAUAACUCAUCAAGGGACAUGUAUAAUAUAGUAGUUAGAAAUUCAUGACUUCCUCUAUUAUAAGUGACACCAUUGAUGGUAUUGACGAUGGUACUACCAUAAAAGCAUAAUAUUUCUAAAUUGCCAGACAUUCUGUCAAACAACACAACAAAAACCUAAUCUAAUUUAUUAAUUUCCCAGGGUUAAUCAAAAUGCAUAAUUUAUCAAUAAAAUCAUAACGAUAACAUAAUCGGUUAAAACCUGAAUUUUUGAAGUUAAUCGAAGAACACCUGAAUUUCACUACCAUAACAAAAUUAGCAACCCAAUUCAUGUAUUUCAUAGAUAAUUAUCUUAUUUUAUACCCAAUUCGAUAUAAUUCAUAAUUUAAUCUAAAUCAACACUAACUAUAACAAAAAAAUUUUGUUAACUCACAAUCAACAACCACCCAAAAUUAUUGAUUAUUUUAUAAAAUAACCUAGUUAUUAACUCAAAUUAUAUCUAAUUAGCCUAGUUACAGAAAAAAAUAUGAUUAUUUUAAAUCCUUAAUUCAAAACCCUAACGUUGUAUGGAAUCAAACUAACACAAAUUACAUCAAAUUGAUAGAGAAAAGGUAUUUAAUAUACCUUUAAAUGUAUAAUGUGGGUGGCAAUGAUGACCAAUAAUGGCUAUUAAAUGAAUCAAUCUUGUAAAAUUAAUCAAAUAAAAGAUUCAAUUGAAAAACCAUUCAAUUUAAAACCAAUUUGAACACACAAUACCAAACACCAAAAAAAAAAAAGAAAAAAAGGAGGGAAAUUAGGCCCAUAACUUUUUCUUAGACAUAAACAACAAUGAUAAAGGUCAAACAAGUGUCACGCAUGGUGUUGUGGAAUUCAAAUUCCCUACCGAGAUGUUGCAAUCAUUCCUGCAUUUAAGGGUUUAUGCUUCUUCUUUUUUGUGAUUUCUUCCUUUUUUGUUUUUGUUGACGUGUUCCUUUCAUGUUUUAUAUCCUUUCCCCCUCUCAUGCCAUGCCACAAUGAAUUGUGUUUAUUGUCAUUGGACUCUUCUCACUCUCCAUACCAAUGUGUUUUUGUUUUUAAUCAUAAAAUAUCCACCAUAUUUAUUCAAGUUUAUUUGAAGUUUAUUUGUUUUGAAACAAGAAUUAUUUGUAAUUGUUUUACCUAAGAAUUAAGUUACCACUAGAGAACUCAAGAAGUCCAAUAAAAGCCAUUUUUUAUAGUUUAAUUUUAAUACCUUGUUGGAGGGAUUAAACAUGGUUGUCAGGUCCAAUUCAAGGUCUAGCAUAAAAACAACUCAGUUUAAUUGUGUUUUUAUCAAAACAAUAUUAUUUUAUUUUUUAAAUUAUUUAAUAUUGAUUCGAUCAGGUUUAGAUAGGUAAUAUAUCAAUUAGUCGGAUUAAUCAGAUUUGGUUGAAAGUUCAAAUUAAAACCUUAUUAUAGUUAAGUUACAUAUUAGAAAUAUUUUAAUCGAAUCAGCUUGCUAAACCGAGGAAUGUUUGAUAGAAAUGAAAUUGAAGGGAUGCAUGGUUAGAUGGAAAGUACAAUUGGGAUUAAAAGUACAUAAUGGAUUUUGAGAUUAAUCUAUACUUUUACUCCCUUUUAGAUUCCUUAGCUUUUAGUAAACACAUGCUUGACUGUUGUAAUUUCAAUUGAUAAUUACUAAACAAUUAUAACUUGCUGGAUUGAUUGAUGGAAUUAUUGAAAAGGUUAAUUUCCGCUUAUAGUAUGCUUUAUGGACUAUAUUGUAUUGUUUUCAUGUUUUCUUUCGUAAUUUCUUGAUAUCGUUGUCAUUGAGUGGAUCUUAUAUGAAAUCUUGUGAUGUCAAGCAAUUACACGAGGGACAAAGUCACAAUUCUAAUGAGUUGGGGUUGCUAGCUUAGGAAAAUUAGAUUGAAUUGAAAAAUAAAAUAAUAAAUUAAAAAGUUAUAGAUAUAAAAAAAUAUAAUCACAAAAUUUUUGAUGUUGAGAAACAUGUAUUUCUCUUGGAUAAUCCUUAACUUGAAGAGUGUGUUGAGAAAAAUCCAAGAUUUGAGAACUAAAAUGUAAGAUCUUGGAAGUGCAAUGCCCUCAACAUCCGAUCUUGUUUCCUCCCUUUAUUACGUAUUGAGAUUGAAGAAUUACAAAAUGGUAGAGUAAAGUUUCUGAAUUAAUUUAAAUAAUCACAUAUUUGUUUUUUGAAAAUAUAAAAUAAAAACUCAAAAACACAAAUUGUUUUUGAUAGUUUUAAUCACAUUUCUAAAACUCAGUGUUUUUUUAUUAUUAAUAUGGAUGUCUGAAUUAGCUUAUGCGCAUCUCAAUUAAUCAUACGUGUCUUAAAGUUAAUGAUAAUAUAAGUCUCUAGUGACCUUGAAAUGACUCAAACUCAUGAUUAUUAAAAAGUAAAUUUAAGAACUGAUUAUUAAAUUAGCUGAUUAACACAGUAACUUUUUUAAAAUGCUGGAUUGGUGCCUUUUAUAUUUAAACAAGACCUCUCAACUGGGAUAUGGACUACGAACUACCUAUAAUUAAUGUUUCCAUGACUUUUUAUAUCUACCUUAGUUGUAUAAAAUAAGAAAAAACAGGAUUAUCCAUAGUGAUUUCCAUUUCUUGUUUCAAUUUGGUACUUGCCAUUAUUAAAUUAUACAAGGAAUGUCUUAAUUUGUUGUAUUUGUAUGAGUUUAUACUUUUCAAAUUAUUUUUUCAUUUGAAAAUUUAUAAAAUUAAUGAUUUUUAAAUGUUUUUUAUGAUUCUAAUGUGUUGAUGUAAAAAAUUAAAAAAAUAUUAUUUUAAUUUCUUUAAAAAAUAUCACAUACCACCACAUUACAGACAAACACUUAUUCAACAAAAAGUGAAGAAUUGGAGCAUUUUUGUUUGUCAAGAAUUGUGAUAGUUACACUUACAUCUACUAUAUUUGAUGAAAAAGCCAAUGUACAUGAAAAAGAAAAGAAAAAAAAGAGAGAGAGAAAAUUAAAAAAAUAAUUUUUGAAAAGAGAGGGUAUAUAUAUAUCCUUCUUAUUAUUUUUGACGAGUUCAUAUGACAUUAUCUCUCUCAUUUUUAUAUCUUCUCUUUUAUACAAUAUUUGUUGACCGUUAACAAUUGAUUAUCAUAUAAUUUUUCUAACAAUUCAGAUAUGCAGAUUCUUGUUUAAGAAUUGAUGUGGGUUUCAUGGUCUACAUCAUGUGCAAUGAAAUUUAAUAGGGUUUGCUCAUCUUCAUGCAUUCAAUUUUGACAUUAAUAAAUAUUUAUAAAAAAUUUUGAACUGUUUUAAUAUGUUGAUAUUAAAAUAAAAAAAUAUUUUAAUAUAUUGUUAAAUAAAAUAUAUUUUUUAAAAAAUACUAUACAUCAUAAUAUCAUAAUGUAAAGAUAAUUGCUUUAUAUUUAACACGACAAGGUUUUCCUAUCCACCAACAUCAUGAAGUCAUCAUCCUUAUAAUAACAAUAAUUAGAAAGAAAAAAAAAACAGUAGAAUCACCAAGCAGAACAAUGGGAAAUCAUUUACAAAUAAGCAUGAAUCGGGCACACAAAUGGACUUUUGUAGUUCUCCAAUGGAAGAUUACAACUACUCCUCCUAGUCAAUGGUGUACGUAAAUUCAAUGUCUAUACCAUGUCAAACAACAUUUCUACUAAUUUGGUUAAGUUUGUAUUUGACAUUAUAUUAAUUUUUAUGAUGAUGUAUUGAGAAAACCUAAAAAAAAAAAACACCCGAAUUGACGUAGCAGAAUCUAGUUGUAACUAAUUAAUUAUUAUUUUUAAUAAAAAAAAUGUUAUGUUGAUUUAUAUAAAACAUAAAAAGAUAAAACUAACUCAGUAACCCAAAUCAUAAGGUGAUCAUCACCUAAAAGGGUUUAAAAACUCCAAUUAAUAGUAAUAAAAGGCUGAAAAGAAAAGUGAAAAAAGAAAGGCAAGAUUACAGAAACAUAGACAUGGUGAAUAAAGGUCCCUUUUGCAUGUGUAUUUGUCGCCCAUCCCUUUAAUCUGCUGAAAGGAGUGAUAAUCCGACUCGAACUAUUGACUGUAGUUCAUGCCCUCAUCUUGUUUCUUCUAAGUUCUAACCCUUUUCAACUAGAUUUUGUUUUGAAAAGUGGUUUCUGUGUUCUUUUUUGAUGCAAUAACAGCCUAAAUGAUAAUUAUAAUUCGAUUCUCAUCUCUACAAAUCCAUCAUUUCAUUACUGUAGACAAACAAAUGCCUAUCAGGAAUUUUCCAGGAUUGCAAGUGUUUCAUGUUCAUCAAACAACAAGAGAGCAUCACUAAUCUAUGACUUGCAAGACAUCCCAUCAUAAACUUAGGCAAUAUAUAAUAUUUUAAAAUCAUUUUAAUAUAUUAAUAUAAAAAAUAAAAAAUAUAUUAUUUUAAUAUAUUUUUUAAUAAAGAACACUUUAAAAAACACUCUCAAUCAUUUUUUUCUGUAUAUUCCAAGACUCGAAAAUACGAACUUUACAUUAUAUUUUGUUUCCAACCAAGAAAAGGUAAUAUUGUGCACAAUUGAGCGAAAAAAUAAAUGAAAAAUUAUUACAAAGAAAGAAAACAAAAAAUAAAAGUGGGAGUGUGAGGUUCCUUUUUGUUAAGGUCUGUUUUUUACUCCCCCCCCUCUUUUUCUCCGAAAGAUGCUGUUUACGAGUCCUUUUCCUCUCUCAGUUCACACGCACACAAGUAUGCUCUGCUCGUCUCUUUUUCCUCAUUUUCUCUCAAAUACAGGACCAUGGAUAUAUAGAGGCCCUUCCUCUCUCGAAAAAGACUACUCCUUUUUUGUUUAUAACUAGUUUGGAAGCAGAGAAAACGAGGGAAAACCUGAGGGAAAGUUAUAAAGGGUACAUACAAUCUUUGUAAGCAUAAUCUGCAAAACCUCAUCUGGGUUUUUCUGUUCAAUCAAAUUUCUCAUCUGGGCACUCCUUUACCCCCAAAAACCUCUCUAAAAAACUAAACUUGAGAAGGCAUCAAUGAUCAGUCUCACAGACCUUUACCAUGUUCUCACAGCUGUGGUACCACUUUAUGUGGCCAUGAUUUUGGCUUAUGGUUCAGUCAAAUGGUGGAAAAUAUUUAGCCCUGACCAAUGUUCAGGGAUCAACAGAUUUGUGGCUCUAUUCGCUGUACCUUUGCUUUCUUUUCACUUCAUUUCCACCAACAACCCCUAUGCUAUGAACUACAGGUUCAUUGCAGCAGAUACUCUUCAAAAAAUCAUAGUCUUGGUGGUUUUAGCUAUUUGGACCAGAGUUAUCUCUAGAGGCUCCCUUGAAUGGUCCAUUACUUUGUUUUCACUCUCUACUCUCCCAAACACUCUUGUUAUGGGCAUCCCUUUGUUGAAGGGUAUGUAUGGAGAAGCCUCAGGGAGUCUUAUGGUCCAAAUAGUUGUUCUUCAAUGCAUAAUAUGGUACACAUUGAUGCUGUUCUUGUUUGAGUAUAGAGGAGCUAGAAUCUUGAUUGGUGAACAGUUUCCCGAUACUGCUGGUUCUAUAAUAUCAUUCAGGGUUGACUCUGAUAUUCUUUCUUUAGAUGGUAGAGAGCCAUUGCAAACUGAUGCUGAAGUCGGUGAAGAUGGGAAGUUACAUGUUACUGUUAGGAAAUCAACUAGCUCGAGAUCAGACGUGUUUUCUCGGAUGUCUCAUGGUCUAAACUCGGGCCUUUCAAUGACUCCUAGACCGUCUAAUUUAACCAACGCAGAGAUAUACUCCCUUCAAUCUUCUAGGAAUCCUACCCCAAGAGCCUCCAGUUUUAACCAUACUGAUUUUUAUUCUAAGAAUGCAAGCAAUGCCAGUCCAAGACACUCGAACUUCAGUAACCUGCAAUUUGAUGAAGAAAGUGGAGGGCUUGGGGUGUUUGGUAAUGUUCCAAGAGCAAAUGGAAGCGCUUAUCCUACUCCACCUAAUGCUGGGAUCUUUUCUCCCGGGGGUAAAAAGAAGGCAAACGGGACUGAGAAUGGCAAGGAUUUGCAUAUGUUUGUUUGGAGUUCAAGUGCUUCACCAGUAUCAGAAGGUGGCCUACAUGUCUUUAGGGGAGGGGAUUAUGGCAAUGACCUUGGUGGGGUAGCUAACCAAAAAGGUAUAAACACUAACCUUGAUAGUAUUUGUUUUUGGAUUUUGUUGGUUUCUUGCAUGGCUUGAUUGUGAUUACAAGAUAUCUGGCACAAAGUUGUGGUUUUUUUCUUGGAACCUUGUGUAUUUGUCUUGUUGAUACUUGAAAGUUAAGUGGUUUUUUUUAUUGGAGAAACCUUAUUUUCCUGUCAUGUCAAGUGGGAUUGUUGGUUUUUUGUUUGUUACAUCUUUUGUAGCUUUUCAUUUUGCCUUUGCUAUAGCAUGGGCAAUUGGGCGUAACCUUGAUGCCUUUAUCAUCAACAAGGUGUCUUCUUUAUUUUUGUUUUUAUUUCCAUAAUUCAAUCACUAGUAAAUCUUAGUAACAUCUCUAGUUAUGCAACUUUCCUGGUAUUGUGCAACCACAAUUAUUUUUGUUUUAUUUCCAUAAUUCAAUCACUAGUAAAUCUUAGUAACAUCUCUAGUUAUGCAACUUUCCUGGUAUUGUGCAACCACAAUUAUUCCCUUUUCAUUUCAUGUUUAGAGUACUAUGGCAUUUUUUUUUUCUUGCUUUAUAAAAAAACAGAGUCGUCUGUUAAUUUCAUAUUCUCAGCCACUGACGUGUUUCAGUUUUGAUGUUUAGAUUAUGAAGAAUUUGGUCGAGAUGAGUUCAGCUUUGGAAACAGACCUGUACCUAAUGGGGUAGACCGUGACGGUCCAGUGCUUUCUAAGCUUGCUUCAAGCUCCACAGCUGAGCUGCACCCGAAGAGUGCUGCUAAUGGUGAACCGAAGCCAACUGCCAUGCCUCCUACUAGCGUUGUGACAAGACUCAUUCUCAUUAUGGUGUGGAGAAAACUUAUCAGGAAUCCCAAUACUUAUUCCAGUCUAAUUGGGCUCACAUGGUCUCUUGUUUCGUUCAAGUAUGGUGCUAAACUAUACAAUCCAUAAUUUUUUUUUUGUUUAGAACUUUUAUCUUGUUGCAUUACCUGAAAACAUUUACAAUAUAACAGGUGGGACUUGGAGAUGCCUCAAAUAAUUGCUCAUUCUAUAUCUAUUCUAUCCGAUGCUGGUCUUGGAAUGGCCAUGUUUAGUCUUGGUAAGUUAAUAAUCAGAUUAUAUCAAACGAUUUCUUGACUUGUUUGCUUGAUAUGUCUUGGCAAUUGUUGACUAUAUAAAACCAUCACAUUGGAUUGUAGGUUUGUUCAUGGCAUUGCAGCCUAGGAUUAUUGCUUGUGGAAACUCAGUUGCUGCCUUUGCCAUGAGUGUUAGAUUCCUCACUGGUCCUGCAGUCAUGGCUGCUGCUUCAUUUGCUGUUGGACUACGAGGAGUUCUACUGCACAUUGCCAUAGUGCAGGUAAAACCCUGAAACCAGAUGAUAAAUAUUUCCCCAAAUGUGACCAUGGACGGUUUUUUUGUUUGAAUAUCCUUUAUGACAUACUUUGUUUGACUUUUCAGUCAGCUCUUCCACAAGGGAUUGUGCCCUUUGUCUUUGCAAAGGAAUACAAUGUUCAUCCUGACAUACUGAGCACUGGGUUCGAAACUCUAAAUUCUGCUACAACUCUAAUAUAAUUGUCUGAACUGCAUUUGUUUUUGUUUUUUUUUUAAAUAUUGGUAAGAAAUUCAUCUGCCUGUUCAUAAUUCAUUUUCAUGGGAUCACUAGGGAUACCAAUGGCUCCUUGUAAUCAUUGCAAAUAUGUUCUACUUUUUUCUUUUGUAUAAUCAAGGCUCUUAAUGCAAGAUAGUUUCACAAUACUAGAAUAUGAGCACGUAUUAGCUUUAGCUUCCACACCACUUGUUGAACUGUGUUUGCUCUUCAAUUUACACAUUAAUGAUUUUGACCUCUAAUGUUAUUUAUGUAUCUUGAUUUUCCCUUUGCUGCAGAGUUAUAUUUGGGAUGCUAAUUGCUUUGCCAAUCACACUGGUUUACUAUAUUUUGCUUGGACUUUGAAGGUGAGGGCAUCCCUGGAGCUGAUGAGCAAUGAUUAGUUACUUACGUAGGUGUACCUAACACAUUUGGCCUAUGGGAUUUUUUGGGCAUUCUCUAACAGAACGUGAACUUGAAGGGAAACUAGGGAGAGGGAUUUAGGAGUAGGAAAUGCAACAAUAUGUAAUUGUCUAAUUGAAAGAAAUCUUUUCUAGUCAUUUUGCCUUAUUCUCAUCUCUAAAGCCUUUUUGCCUUGCUCCCCCUCUGAUUAAAGAAAGUGAAGCUAGUAUUUUGAGGUUCCACUGCUUAUUAUUUAUUAACCCUUUUCAAUAUUACAAAAAAGAAGAAGAUUGUCAUGGAAAUCUGGAUGGAAGGCUCAGCAGAAACCUGUGUCUACUGCAACCAGGACCAAAACAUAAGAAAGCCAAGGAUCUACUGCAACCUGUUUCUGGGCUCUCCCUUUUAGGUCAAGGAUCUAAAAAGGUGCCGAAGGUCUCUUGUGAGGCUGUCUUCUGGAAGUGGCAGGACUUCUCCAUUGAUUCUGUGACAUGAAAGUUUUUCUUCUUUUUUAAUGAGAAAAGCAAUGAUCCUUUAAUGGUUAAAAGCUUUUAAUCUUCAUACUUCCCAUUCUUUUUCAGCCAAAUAUGCCCUAGCAGCUAUUAAUGUGUUGGUUCUAUAGGUGGUAUUCACAUAGAAGUUCAAGAAUUUAAGAAAACAGUAAUCACUUCUUUAAGGAUUCUGGAUUCCCGAAUUAUUUAAUUAAUUAUGCAAUGGUGGCAAGGUGAAUUAUUCAUUCACUUUAUGAUAAUGCUGGUGUUGCCAAGCAACAUUGGCAUCAAAAUUUGCUCAAGAAUAAAGUGGGAUAUGGUGUCAUGGAAUAUUCAUCUUUCAAGAAUUAAUUUUUUCUGUUAUUCCAAGAAGCAUGAUCUAUUGACUAUCAGUACUUGAGAUAUGGAAAGUUCUACAAAAUCAAUAUUUAGAACUUAUUUUAUAGAAAUUUUUAGUUGAUUUAAAGUGUUUCUUUAAAUUCUUCUGAAAAAAAUAAUUAAUAUCAAUUGAUUUUAAUUUUGUUUGAAAAUAAAAUUUCAUAUUAGCAGUUUUCUUUGGUAUACAUCCUAGCACUUUUCUAAUGGAGGUAUAUAUACCUCCUUGUUCUUGAAAGCUACAUGUUUCCAAAUAGUUGGAAUUGGAAGCCCACCUCCUUGGACUAGUGUUCAUACUAUAUAUUUAUACUUCUUAUAUGCUCUUUCAAAUACCAUGUUACAAUUAAUAAAGGAUAUCAAAAGAAGGAUCUUUAUUUUUAGGGUUGUAAAGUGAAUCAAUUCCUUUAUUAUGAUCCCUAAAGCCCAUUUUUAAGCUGGAAAGAUGUCAUUGAAGUCCAGAGUUCCAAGAAUUCUCAAGGAAAAAUAUUAAAUUUUGCUCUUUAAUGUUUCCUUAAAGUUCUGUUUUGGUGUCUAAAGCAAGCAAAUAAAAAUUGGCUAAUGAAAUUGUUUUUAUAUAUUCAAUUGAAUUUCAGAAAUAUACAAACAAAUAAACAUUUCAUAUUAAAACCAAAUUAUUAAAUCCUAUCAAGUCAACAACUCGGCCCAAAAAAUUAUAGGUUAGAUGAAUUAAUUUAACUAAAAUAAUAUUAUUUUAAUUUUUAUUUAAAAAAAUAAUAAAAAAUUGUUUUUAAUGUUUCUAUUUUUUUUAAAAUAAAUUAGACUAGUUUUUGAUCGAAUUGGCCAGAUUUGAUUAAAUCAAUUAUCAUUUAAUUUAAUUUAAAAUUUAAUUCAAAUUAAAUUUUGAAUCAACAUAUUACCAGAGAACCUCUCAAACUAAAUCAAGUUUAAUAACACGUAAUAAAACUCUAAAUAAACUAUUAAUAAAAAUGAAUCUUUAACAAAAUAUCCUUGCGUCUGUACUUUUCAUUCAACCUUUCAUAAUUUUAAGGGGUGUAGCUCAACUGGUCAGGUUCUAAAUUUGUUCCUUAGAGGUCAUCAUUUCGAGUUUUACAAAUCUCAGGGCUACUUGAAGUUUACAUGGUUGUUAAUUUCAGAGUUCAUGAAAUUAGUCAAGAUACAUCCAAACUUGUCAAAUAUGUAUAUUAAUAAAAUAAAAUAAAAUGAAAUGAAAUUAGUCAAGAUACAUACAAAAACAAAACUUUCUGUAACUCACCGCAGCUUCUGCUACAUUUCCUUUUCUGAUGGCCAUAGGAUCAAAUGAUGUUCCAUCAUUUCACCUCAUCAAAAGCCGAAUUCUCAGACCAAGCAUGCUUAAUUUAUGGAAUUAUAAUUAAAUAAUUGUGGGAAAGAGAAUACAGCAAUUUGCCUUUUUACUCGUAAUCUGCAGAAUGCGGUCAGUGGCAGAGACUUACUAAAAGUUCUUUUUAUGUGUGCAAUGUGACACAAUCUCCAUCCACAGCAGACAACACAGCUUAUUUGCCCUAAUUAAUACCACAAGUGGGUUCAGCUUUUCAUUUCUUUAUUUUCAUGGCUCAGAAGACACCAAUUGAAGCAUGAAAAGUUCGAAAAGUUGGAGAUGACCCUAGUGAAUAUAAUGAUGAAACCAGUUUCUUAUUUUUCUUUUUCAUGAUCUUCCAUACAAUGUGCAGCACGUGUUCCACUUUCAUGGCCACUAAGCAUCCCUCAAGGCCUUAUGUAGUUUUGGCCCUUUUGCUUUCAAUUUUUUAGUCACUUGAGCUGGAGAUCAGUGUACCUGGAAUAUUGAAUAAUCACACCACCCCAUUUGCCUUUAUAAUGUUAUGAAGGAUAUUUGAGGUUACAAGUAGUUGUAAAGUCAGAUGAAAGGCUAGUUUUACGGGGAAACCAUGGCCGGAAAAUAUGUUGGAGGAAGGUUUGAUGUGAAAGGACUGGCUGCAUGUUUUUGAAUAAUCGGGAAACGGGAAAUAUAGAAACCCACGCAGUUCCUCGCAAUGCUAAACAAAGAUCAAAUAGUGAAAGAUUAUAUACAAGAACACCAAGACUACGUGUAGCUCAAUAUUUAAAAAAUAAAUUUUUAUGUGUUGUUUGUGACUGCGAUCAAUCGCACAAUUAUCUCUAUUUUGUAACAUGGUUAAUCACGCGAGAUUAUAAUAAACCUUUGCAGUUGUAUCCAUUUAAUAUCGUAAUUAACCACGCAGUUCCUCGCAAUGCUAAACAGAGAUUAAAUAGUGAAAGAUUAUAUACAAAAACACCAAGACUACGUGUAGCUCACAUUUGAGCAAGAAGCAAGUUCUUUCUUUCUGUCUUUAACCCUUCUAAAUUUUAGUGCUAGUGAGAUUUGAUCUCACAUGAUUUGUGACCAUAGCAACUUAAUUUAAGAGCUAAGUUGGGUAGUAGUAAUACCUAAAUUUGUAUAUUAACAAGAUUUACUGGGUUAAAUUAUAUCAAAAUAUUAUUUUGAUAUAUUUUAAAGUAAAAAAUAUUUUAAAAAAUAAUUAUAAUAACACUCUCAAACAGUAAUUUAAAUUAGCGAUGCUCUCAUAGACAAAUUGUAUUGAUUACUUGAAGUGUAGUGGAAGGUCAGGGAUUGGUCAUGUUUUGAAAGAGAAGAAGUCGAAAGUUCCAAAUAAAUCUUAGGCGGCUCUAUAUUAUAUUUCGUUAACCUCUCAUUGGAAGACAACGGUAUUUUCUUUCACAUUCCUUCAUGUCAAAAUAGCUUGGGACUAAGAUGUUUGUUUCCUUUGUAUUCUCAGAUUCGAGCCCUAUGAUUACUCAUAUGAUGGUCACUGGAGGCUUACAUGGUCGUUAACUUCAGGGCCCAUGAGAUUAGUUGAGGUGCGCGCAAGCUGACCCGGACACCCACGUUAAACUAAAAAAAAAAUAGAUAGACUAUCCCAUGGAGAGAGGCUGCUCGAGAGGAACUUCGGUGUCCAUUAAGUGAAAAAAAUAUAAUGUGCGCUCACCAUAAAUCUAAUUUUAUUGACCCAAACUUUUUUUUUAUCAACUUGAGUUCUAGUUGAAACCUGUUUUUAUCCUAUGUCGGGUCUAAAAAAAUCAAUUCAGAAUUGGUUUAGUUAACCCGACGACAUAAUUUAUGAUAAAUUUUAAUUAUUUUAAAAUGAUAUUAUUUUGAUAUUAAAUUUUUUUUUUUGAGUUAAAGAACUUGAUAUAUGUUCGAUACUUGCCUGGAGUUCAAUAAUAAUGCAUCAAUCCAUUCACAUAGAUAUUUGUACGAGACAUAUUAUAAAAUAAUUAGUGAUUAACCACUUUGUGAGUGCGAAUAAAUAGCAAGCCUAGUUUAUGUAAUAACUUUUCAAAGUGAAGGAUCCAAUUACUAAUUGGUCAAACAAAUUAUAAAAUAUUUAACUCAUUAGAUUAAAAUUAAAUAAAUAAAUAGGUAAGUGUUUAGUUCAUAUGAGAAAUGAAUAUCAAUUACAAUAAUUUUCUUAUGUUAAAAACUAGUGUAACAGGAACUAAUGCAUUUUCCAUUCAAGAAAAUCUAGCUUGAAUUCAUUUUUAUUUUUAUUUUCAAAAAAUGAGUGCUUGUAUGACGUUCAAGCCCAUUAGCCCACUCAAGCAAAGACAAUUGAUAGCAAAGGCCCGAACCAGAUGGUUUUCUCCAAUGACUUAUCAGGCUUUACCGGUGGCUCGUAUCCGGCUUAAUAACUAGCUAUUUUCUUAGCCGUGAUAAAACCUAUCGUUAUAUUUAUUGGAAUAUGUUGUUUUUUAAAAUAUUUUUUAUUUAAAAAUAUAUUAAAAUAUAUAUUUUUUAAAAUUAUUUUUGAUAUUAACACAUCAAAAUGAUUUAAAAAUAAAAAAAAAUAUUAAUUUAAAAUAAAAAAAUAAAUAAAAAAAAUUUCAAAUUUUUUCAAAAACGCUUUAUCUUGUGUUUGUUUUUUCUUUUUUUUUAAAAAAAGUAAUUAACAAUAAAAUUAUCUUGUUAGAUUAAUUCACACAUUAACUGAAGCUAAAUCCCUUCUUAAAUAAUAUUAAAUAAACCUCCAUACCAGCCUUUUGGAUUAAAAAUUAACAAUAAAAUUAUCCUCUUAAAUUAGUAAAUUAAUUUUUAUAAAAAAAUCUCACAUUCAAAUCCUCGAGUCUCCUCUCUGAUUAAAAAAAAAGAAAAAAUAGAUCUCAUAAUAAGAUUUGCACAAUAUCUUUCAGUCUAUUUAAGUGCAUUUAUAAAUGGAAAGUAAUUUAACUGUUUAUGGGCCUGCCCAAUAUCCUUGUCUAGGCUUGUUUGCAAAGCCAGGAGUAGUAUUACUAAAGAAUGAGAUUCAUUAUCAAAAUGGAGGCCUACUUUAGAGUCUAUUUGGCUAAAGAUCCACAAUGUAAGAUAGAUGAGUUGACUCGUAAAUUGGAAGGUCAACUUAAAAUAUAAUUUUAUUUUUUAAAACAAAAAACAAUAUCAUUUAAUAAAAAAACUAAUUCAAAAUAAAACCCAGCUCAUAUCAAGUUAUGAAUUGAUUAAUUAUUGCAUUAACCUUAUUAGACCGAGUUUUAUAAUGUUCAAAGGGAUUGUUCUUGGACUUUGGAUCCCCUAGCUUCCAUUAAAAGUGGACAUGGUUUAUUCAUUUGCCUUUCCUCAACAUCAUUGCAAUUUUGCAAUGAUAUUCUGUGUUCUAAGAGAAGAAUCCAAUAAUUUUUUCUAUUUUUGCUACAUAAUUAUUUUCUCCUUUUAAUUGCCCUGUGAUCUUUGUUUAUGAUGAAGAAAAAAAAACUUUUUGACCGCCAUGAUGUUCUCUCUUGACCACAAUUUUAAUUUGUAAAAAUUACACCAACCAAAAAUAAUAUUAAAAAACCUUAGUAAUGGCUUAUAUGCUUCGACACACGCUAAAAAUAUUAAUCACGACUUCUAAAUUUAUUUUUCAUGACUCAAUUUAAGAUUAGAUACAUGAGUUGGGUGAGUUAAUUUAAACUAACUAUAUUGAUUUAAAAUAAUAUUAAAAUAUUAAAUUAGGAUUUAAUCAGAUCAAUUAUGUCGUGGACUUAAAUCAAUUAGUAUAACAUUAAUUAGUUUUAAUUUGAAAACAAUUUUAAAUUGAAAAUUGAUAUAUUACUGAGUUGACCCGCCAGCCUACCCGACACUUCAAAUAAGAUUGUUGAGAAGAGUACUUGUGCUUUAACAUUUGGGGACUGAUUAAUGGUGUGGGGGUGUUUUCUACCUGCCUUUCAAUGAAUUCGAAGAUUUUGAUUUUAAAAACUAAUAUUAAAUAAAAAAUAAUACACUGAGAUAAUCUUACAGAUACAUUAAUGAAUAUUAUUUACUAUUGGACCAUACAUUAUACGAAUUACGGUACUUAAGGACUGGCUAGUGGGAUUUGGGUCCGCAUAACUCUUCUUUUAAAGCAUGGAAUUUGAGUUCAUGGAAAAAAGGAUUUAUAUAAACCUUUUUCCAGAAUUGGCUUAAUUUUAGAAAAUUAUCACAAUUUGAAUGAUUGAUGAACCAGUACUGUUUUUUAUUUUAAUAUAUAUAAAAAAAUCAGAAAAAACAUAUAGUUGGGUUAAUUUCAAAUAGAUUUUUAUAAGUUUAAUUUGAUUAAUUUACUGGUAUUUACCAGAAACUAGCCAUAAAAUAAAGAUCACAAGAGGGAAAUUAGAAAUAAAAUAAGAAAUCAAAAUCUAAAGACCACACAUAUCCUAGCUCCCAUUAUCAUUAGACCUCCUUUAUGCUGGGUCCACUACUUUUGCACAUAACCUUAUCCUAAAACGACAUAAUAAGUCAAAUCAAACGACUAUAAAUAAAAUGCCCUUUUUUUCUUAAAAAAAAACCCAAAACCACCGAAAGGCAGAGAUAGAGCCCUCUACUUUUUUCAACACAAAGAAGACUGAAAAUCUUCACUUGCGGGUCAUCUCCCUUCUCCUACGGCAACCCGAAAACACAACAUCAACAUGCAGCCUGAAAACUGUCAGGAGAAUUCACAGUUGUACCGGUUUCUUACCGAGAAUGGAAUGAUUAACGUUGGUCCAUACGGUUUUCCGGCUGCGAUGCAAACCUUGUGUACCUCAUCUUCCACUUCCUACCAUAACAGUAAUUACCACUUUGAAAGGUCUGUGAUAACUGACAUGACACCAGAAGAUAGAGCUCUUGCUGCCUUGAAGAAUCACAAGGAAGCUGAGAAGAGAAGGAGAGAGAGGAUUAACUCUCAUCUUGAUAAGCUUAGAGGCCUCCUUCCUUGCAAUUCCAAGGUAAUAUAUUUAUGAUAUAUGAUCUUGCGUUUCCUUUUCUUUUCCUUUCUGAAUUGAUCAUGUUUCUACUCAUGAAGUUUAAGGGAUUAUAUUAAUACUCUUUCCCUAAAAUUUCUUGUGAGAGGAUUGUUUUAUAAGAGAAAGGGAUCACGAAAACUAAAAAGAUUGUAAGCUUUAAAGGGGUUUUCAUGGAAAAUAUUGUAAUUUUGUUCUUGCUGUUUUUACUUUUAUUUCUCUUUUGGGUUCAUACAGAACUUGAAACGAAUUGGUAUUGAUUUCGGGGUUUUCCAUAGUGUUUUGCUUCAAUAAUUUUGAUUGUUUGGUUGCUGAGAAUGCAGUGGAAAAAGUUGAAAUUUCGAGUUUUAGACUUUUCAGUCAUUAAUUACCUUUGACCCACAAAGCCGAAAUCCCUGCUGACAGACUUGACGCUUGCCCAACUCAAAUCGUUUGGCAUUUGUUGUUUACUUGAAUACCCAUUUUUUGAAGAUUAACAACAAGGGUUUUAUGUGCUUCACUCAUUGAAUUUUUUUUUUAUCCGUUUCUAUCCCUCAUUUUCUUGGUAACCAAACGGGAAGGAUCUAUACAAGGCUUAUCGCUGCUACAGUAAAAAUUCAGAUUCUGAAACCUUGGAUCUACACAAACAAGUCUUCUGAAACUUUUGAAUUAUUGUUCAAACUGCAAGUACAUAUACCUGCAAAAGCAAAAGCAGCGAACCCUUUUCUUUGCUUUUCUUUACAUAGGGUUUGUGCUUUUAGGAAAGUUGCAAGGCUUUUUACAUUUCGAAUCUACUAAAGCUAGCUAGGGUUUCUAAUCGAUCCUGUUACUUUGUUUCAAUUUUUACAGACAGACAAAGCUUCACUUCUAGCAAAGGUUGUUCAAAGAGUUAGAGAACUGAAACAACAGACCUCAGAGCUUCCUGGACUUGAAUCUUUCCCAUCAGAAACCGAUGAAGUCACUGUACUUUCUGGUGAAUAUUCAAGUGAUGGACAAUUAAUAUUCAAGGCAUCUCUGUGCUGUGAAGACCGGUCGGAUCUCAUGCCAGACCUAAUCGAGAUACUGAAAUCUCUACACUUGAAGACAUUGAAAGCAGAAAUGGUAACACUAGGAGGAAGAAUUAGGAAUGUUCUUAUCAUUGCGGCUGACAAAGAUCAUAGUGUCGAGUCGGUCCAUUUCUUGCAAAAUGCAUUGAAGUCUUUACUAGAACGCUCGAAUUCUAGCGAAAGAUCGAAAAGGCGAAGGGUAUUAGACCGAAAAUUAGUAAUCCAAUGAUGAUUAAUAUCGUUCAUGUGCUUGUCUUAGUCUCCUUUUAAUCUUUUUUUUUUUUGGAAUAUUUUUAGGUGUUGCAGGCUUGUGAUGUAGUCUGGUUAAUCUCUAUUGUGUGUUUUUGUUUGUUUUAGUGUAAACCCCAAAGAAUUGAAGGGAAAAGAAAAGGGAAACGUAUUUGUGUGAUUUAGUCUGGGUUUUUAACUGGUCUAGGGUUUUAGGAUAUUCUCAGUCUCCUUCAUGGGAUCAUAUCUUACAUGUAAGGGGAUCAUAGAGCAGAAGAAUCUAAGAAUCUGAACUGAAGAUGACGAAGAAGAUCAGAAAUCUUUGGACGUUGAAUGGCUAUGGUGUCUGUAAAAGCAAAAAACUCAUGUGAGUUUCCAAGUAGAGUUGAAGAGUAUUUCUCAGUGUGUAGUACAAGGCAUGUCAAUCUCCUACAUAGAUUUCAUAUGAUUGUCUUCUGUAAUGAUAUUUGGCAGUACAAGGCAUGUCUUUAUCUACUUUUCUUCAAUGUAUGUGUAGAACUGAAGUUCCAUUAUUGAGCAUUUUGUCUUUAAUGUACACUGAUUUUAAAGAAAGCAAGAGAAGGAAAAGAUUUUGAAGUUAUUGUAGACUGGUUGUGUUAGAUGCGUUCCCAGAAUUUGCUGUUAAUUAAGGAGUAUUAAAUUGCAGUGAAAGAGACUGAAUAUAUAGGAAUAGGACAGUAGAGAACAAGAGUUCCUGCAAGAGAACUUAAGGUUUUGUUUGUUUGGAGUUGUUUUUUUUUUCUUAAAUAGCACAUUCAUACCAAAAACUAUAUUUAGCAAACUAAAAACUAAAAAAAAUAUUUGAGAAAUAACACAUUUCAAUAAGCUGUGUUGUUCCCAUGAUAGAAACGCAUAACUCUAUUGAAAUCUAAAUAAUUUUUUUUUUUUAAAGUUGGACCGAUAGCGUAAAAGCAGCCUUCAAAAUUUCUUUCUUUUUGCGAAUCUUUAUAAUUUUUACGAUUUUUAAAGCUGUUUGUCUUGAUUAUCAUCAACCUGAAGUGUAAUCUUUCAUUAUUUAUUUAUUUAUUUUUUUUAUAUCAAGUAGAAGUUCCAUUAAGUUUUACUUCCAAACUGAUAAAUAUUUUUUUUUUUAGUUUCAAGUGUGAAUAGAACUCAAUUACUUUCAAACAGCAUUAAUUAGGUAUGCUAAUUAAUUAACUUCAACAAUGUUGAAGAUGAUCUUGCUAGUUACUUCUAUCGCAAAUGGCCUAAAUUUUGUCCCCACUAUGUGAUAAAUAAUAUUUAGCAUCAAUUAAAUAUUUUGAUCACAAUUUUUUCAGUUAUAAAUGUAUAUAUACAAAAAGAAAAGUCUAUAAGUGGGCUUACAAUACCUUUUCUAUUGCAUGAACAUGAAUUACACCAUCUCAAUUAGAUUUAUAAAACUCGAUCAACUUGGUCAUCAUCCAAUUCAAAACCUAAUCCAAGUUUGAUUUUACUUCAAAUCAAUCUUUUUUCUUCAAAAUAAUAUUGUUAUUUACUAUUAUCAAAUUAACAAAUACAAACAGAAACAUUAAUGAAAUAUUUUCAUCGGUAAAUUGCAGUGAAUUUUAUCGACAAAAAUAUUCCAUCGGUAUAUAUCGAGGGAAUUACAGGAAAAAAAUUUAAAAUAAAGCUAAAAAGUACAAUGACGUGUUAUUUAUACCGAUGAAAUUACCGUUGAUAUUAAUAUCGUUGGUAAACUGUUAACUUCUCCCUGACACUGUUCAUCAUGUCAAUUACAAAAGGUAUCACUAACAGAUUAAUUCCGUUAGUAUUUUCCAGAUAUCUUUGAAACUGUUCACUUCUUAAUUGCACUGUUAAUUACUGUUCUUUAUAGACAAAAUCACCGAUGAAUUAAAAAUGUGAUAUUUGAGGGAUUUCUGAAUUUUUUUUAUUAAAUUGAAAAUUUAAAUUAAAUAUUACAGAGAGAAUUAUUGACGGAUUGAAAAGUCGUCGGUGAUAUUUAAGGGUUUUUUUUGAAAAUUUUCAAUUAAACUGAAAAUUUAAAUUAAAUUUUACAGAUGAAAUCAUUGACGGAAUAAUUAAAAAUAUUAAAAUUUUAUUAUCCAUCAGUAAAAUGUCUUAAUAAAAAGACUAGAAUCCCUCAUUUCACAACAGAUGUCUCUUCUUCUUUUUCUUCUUCUCUCUUCUUUUUAUAUAUGUAAAAAACAUCAACAUCCAUUUUUUUCUUUCUCUUUUCUUCUCUCCUUAACUCCUCUUAUCCUCCACGCUCAAACAUGUCUUCUUCUCUUUUCUUCUCUCUUUUAAAUUUUUUUAAUUAACAUAUUUUAUAAUUUUGAUUUUUAUUUUCUCUUCCCAGCUUUACUCGCAACUAUAUUAAGGUAAUAUUUUUUUUUGUGUUUUUUUUUUAAAUUUUUAUGUUCUUAAUAAUUGUAUGAAUGUUGUUGUAGGAUUUUUUUCAUAUGAGAUCAAUUUUGUUAGAUUUUGUUUUUCAAUUUUGUUGUUUAAUUUCAAUUAAAUUAUUUUAUUUGUUGCUAGAUUAUGGGUUAUUAAAUAGGUUUUCUAGGUCAGGUGAAAUUUUUUUAUAGUUGAUUUAUUUAUUUGUUUGAGUUGAUUUUCUUCUUAUUUUUUUGAAGCAACUUAGUUCCAGAGUAUUAUGGAGUGUUGAUUUAUAUUAAUUUAAUUAUUUUCUAGUUCUAUUAAAUAUAUUUUUUUCUUAAAAUAUUUUUAAAUAAUCACUGAAGAAAUUGCAUACAAUAUUUCUGUCGGUUAUAUGACAAGCUUCCCGAGGGAAAUACUGACGGAAUGAAACAAGUAAUUUUUUUUCGGCGUGCUUAUUCUCAUUAAAUCUAUCAAUAUUAAAUAUUUUUUUUAUUACCAACGGACUCACUGACAGAUAAAAAAAUUACCGACGAGAUUUUUAUCGAUGGAGCAUUCACAUUCGUGAUCCUGUUGGUAAAUUCAUUACCGACGGAAUGAUAGUAUAAAUACCGAUGUAAAAUUUCAUCGGUAAAUAUAAGAAUUCUGGUAGUGAUUUAUUUAUUUUUUAAAUAAACAAGUCUUCUUAAUGAUUGUUUUAAGGAGAAUCUUAGGCUGAGUCGACUCCAAAGUUAGUUCUUAUAAUCAUCCUCUGUAUUUUAAUAUUGUCUUGUAAGGUUUAGUCCUUUGAUAAGUAAAGCAAACAAAAGGAAUCAAUGGUUUUGUGAUAUCGUUCAUAUUGGACUUGUGACAAUUGACCCUACUUAGAUCUUGAACGAGCCACAGAAAUGACACUUCCUAAGCAAAAUGAGAGGGUCAAAGAUCACAAAACCGAUUGGAGCCCACAUGAAAUGGAGACAAAGCAUCGCAUAUCAUGUAUAUAUAGUUUCUCUUUGAUUAUACCACAACUAAAGGGAGAUCUGCCGAUGAAGUUGUCAAUUCUUAUUGGUGUGAAUGUUAACCUAGCCGCAACAAGGAGGGUUCUUCUGGGAUUUGAAAAUCUGUUGGGGUUUGAAGUUCUGAUUAAUGGAAAAAAUGUUGUCUUUAUAUGAUUCAAGUCGUUGCUUUUUUCUCAAAAAAGUAUCUACUUUAAUUUUUGUCGCAUGGUUACAAAAUUUCUAUCAAGCAUUCCUUGAAAUUUAUGCUUUUAUGUUCUCGAUUACGCACACAUAAUAAUACCCCUUUAAGCUUUUAGAGAGACAAGAAAAAUUGCCUUUAAGAUUUUUCUUACCAAGUACAAUCCAAAACACAUUCAUGUUAGAUGUGUAUUAGACUGUAAUAAAAUCUAAUUCAUAUCGCUUAGAACAUAUACACUUACAAAUUAAUUAGAAUACAGGGUAUUAAUUAUAUCUCGUUUUUUUAAUCAGAUUUUCACCUCACCUUCUCUAGUAGAAUAAUUUUAUAUUGUAUAUUUAUUCAUUGAACACACCCAAUAAUAACAUCAAUUUGUCUAACUCCGACGACCACCGGAAAAAUGUCACUAGGUAAAUGAAUCUACGUUUUAGCUAAUUCACUUCGAUACUCAAAUAUGCAAUAGAGACUUAAUCUUAAGCUUUGCCAUUUAAUUCUUCAGUAUUGAAGAACUUAGCCAAUUGUAACAUAUAAUUAACAACAAAGUUAUUAAAUCCUAGUUGGAUUUCAUGUUGAGUAUGUUAAUUGGGUCACUCUAAAAAGGAUAUUGUUUUAAAAAAUUAAAUCAAGUUUUGAUCAAAUAUUAGAUUAAUUUUAAUUUUUUUUUGAAAACUUAAUAUGGGCUCAAAUCCUAAAGCCGGGUUUGAUUUAGUAAUUAUCAAUAAGAGAACCAUGUGGUUAUUAAUCAUCAUCAUCAACAUCCAACCUCGUCAUAAUUUGACCAAUUGUUUAAAGUGUGUGCAGUUUCAUCCACUUUAUAGGCAUACAGCAUCUGCAAAUUUUGGAGAUAGAAUAGAGAGAAGCGUGCAAAAAGGAGUGCCAGCAAAAAGAGUUCAAUCAUGGACAAAGAAAAAAGAGGUUUAGCCUUUGAAUUCAACGUGCUUGAUCGUGCGUGGGUAGGGGACUCAUUUUCCUUUUCUUCAUCCCUCUCUCUUUAUUUUUCUACGAGGAGACAAAUGCAUCGUGUAGGAGUUGGCUUUGUCGGGGACGUGCCAUUCUCUCUCGCACAUUUUUCUGUCACUGCCGCCCUAGCGUGCUGCCUUUUGCUUGCUCUUGCUCUCGCUGUUUACUUUUUUGUUUCAUUGUUUUGUUCUCUCUUCAAGCAAUCAUUACACUCAUUCCCUUUUCUCCUUCUUGGAGCUCGGGCUAAUUCUUGAUUUGUUUAGGAAUGGGCCAUUUAAGUGUACCUCUGUUUUUUUGUCUUUUUAUUCUCUUGAUGCUGGGUUUUUGGCACUUGUUGUAAUCUUGGACAAAUUUUAUUCAUUCAUUCUUGCGAUUGCCUGGCUUCGUGAGGACUAGGUAUCAUAGACUCAUAGUUGUGAGGCCUGGCAAAAGCCCCAGGUUGAGGUCUACAGUAGUAAUAAACUAGACGAAGGAUCCAUCUCACCCCAUUGGCCGUGUUACUGUUAUAGAAUAUUUUUAACCUGUAAAUAUAAAUAACUAAAUAAAUUUUUUAUAAUCAUGGCUCAAAUUUGAAAAACUAAAUGAGGUAUAAACAAUAAUGUUAUAUAUAUAUAUCUGCCGAUGAAGUUGUCAAUUCCUAUUGGUGUGAAUGUUAACCUAGCCGCAACAAGGAGGGUUCGUCUGGGAUUUGAAAAUCUGUAGGGGUUUGAAGUUCUGAUUAAUCGAAAAAAUGGUGUCUUUAUAUGAUUCAAGUCGUUGCUUUUUUCUCAAAAAAGUAUCUACUUUAAUUUUUGUCGCAUGGUUACAAAAUUUCUAUCAAGCAUUCCUUGAAAUUUAUGCUUUUAUGUUCUCGAUUAUGCACACAUAAUAAAACCCCUUCAAGCUUUUAGAGAGACAAGAAAAUUGCCUUUAAGAUUUUUCUUACCAAGUACAAUCCAAAACACAUUCAUGUUAGAUGUGUAUUAGACUGUAAUAAAAUCUAAUUCAUAUCGCUUAGAACAUAUACACUUACAAAUUAAUUAGAAUACAAGAUAUUAAUUAUAUCUUGUUUGUCAUAGUCAGAUUUUCGCCUCACCUUCUCUAGUAGAACAAUUUUAUAUAGUAUAUUUAUUCAUUAAACGCACCCAAUAAUAACAUCAAUUUGUCUAACUCUGACGACCACCGGAAAAAUGCACUAGGUCAAUGAAUCUAAGUUUUAGCCAAUUCACUUUGAUACUCAAAUAUGCAACAAAGACUUAAUUUUAACUUUUAUGUUAUUCUUAACAUUAUUAUUAUCAAACUCAUAUAUUUUAAAAAAUAUUUCAAUAUUAUUAUUUUUUACUUGAGUUUAUAUUGAUUGUUGAAACUAAUAAUAUUAUAAUAACUUUAGUUAUGAAAUAAGGACUAACUUGAUGGGUUGACUCAGGCCUGGACUUGUUCGAGUUAAAGAAAAAAAUAAAGAAAUGAUUGACUCGACCUGACUCGGUAAAAAACCCAGGUCAAUCGGAAUAAAACUAGAGUAAAAAACCCGUUGACUUUUUUAAAAAGUUUUUUUGGUCAAAACAAGAUUGUUUUGAUUAUUUUUAAAAAAAAUUUGGUUAGCCAGGUUGACCCUCCAGACCCGUGACCUAAACCUUAUCUCGGGUCGACUCUUGAGUCGGGGUUUAAAACUAUGAUAAUAACCACAUUUAUUCAUGCAUUGACUCGGGUCAUCCCGUGCUGAACCUUUUGACCCAUGACCUGGGCCAUGCCCCGGUCAACCUCUAAAUUGGGUUUUAAAACCAUGAUAAUAACUUUUAUCCUAACAUUGACAUGGGUCAACCUAUAUUGACCCGUUUGAUUUGUGAAUCGGACUUUGCCCAUGGCUAACCCCCAAAUCAAGUUUUACAACUAUGAUAAUAACUACUUUUAUUUUAUAUUGACCCAGGUUGACCUUUCUGACAUGUGAUUCGAGCUUUACCCUGGUUCAACCUCCGAGUCGGGUUUUAAAACUAUGAUAAUAAUCACUUUUGUCCUUACAUUGACUCGAAUCAAUGAUCAAACCUAUUCAUGACUCGGGCCUUGUCCGGUGUCGACCUCCAAAUUAGGUUUUAAAACUAUGAUAAUAACCACUUUUAUUUUUACACUGACUUAGGUCAACUUGACUAGUGACUCGGGCCUCGACCAAUAACCCGUGCUUUGUCCUGAAUCGAACCUCAAGUUGAGUUUUAAAAUUAUGAUAAUAACUAUUUUUAUCCCUACAUGUCUUAGUUGGAUAAUUUUAAAAUUCAGAUAUUUUUACAAGAAUAUUUUAAGAAUAAAAAAUAAUAAAUAUUGUCUCUGUGUACCUUAUGUUUUGAAAGUGCAGAAAUUCAUUCCAAAAUUAUCUCAAAGACUAAUUUAUUUUUAUGUUUUUGUCUCUAUCUCUUCAACUAAACACAUUUUUAUCUCUGUUGUUUUUGUUUUUUUUUUUUUUUUCUGUCCUAGAACAAUAAAUAAAUGUUACCUAAGAAUUGAUUGAAUAUAAAAAAAUGGAUUUAAGUUGUGAAAAUUUAUACAUAAUUAUAUUAGGUAAAAUUUAAAAUUUAAAAAGUUAUUAAUUUGAACUAGAAAAAUAUAUUACUUAGAACACUAAAAAAAUUAAGGAGGAAAUCACUUGCUUACAUUGUUCAUAUAAACAGUGAAAUAAACAUCUCUGUUUUUUUUUUGUUUUUUUAUUUCAUCAUUUAAUAAUUAACUGAUUUUGAUUUUUUUUUCAUAAUUUAUUUUAGUUUGCUUUUUAUAAGAUUAUCGCAAUCUCAAACAAAUAUCCUGAUAUGUAGUUGAUGCUUAAUUUUAUAAAUGUUUGAUUUUAUUAUUAUAUAAUUAGGUAACAAAGUUAAAAAAACAGAGUUAUUAAACCCAAUGGAAACCAUGAAAUGAGUCGCGGGUUUGGUGGGUUAAGUCAUAGAGCUCUGAUUAAAUCCAAUAUGUGGUCGUCUUAAUAUAUAAAAAAAAUAUAAUCUUUAAUUUAUUUUAAAGUAAUAUCAAGUUUUUAUUGGGCAUCCGAGUAGCAUUUGGAUCCAUCAUGUUAUCUGGAUCAUGUCAGGGCAAAAAAAUAGUUUUUUUUUAAGUUAUUAAACCCAAAACAUUUCAUGACCUGAGUUGCGGAUUUGACUGGUUAAACCUCGAAGUCUACAUCGAUCAAAUAUAUCUCUUUUUCAUUAUAAAAAUAAGAGAUACCAUCUUAUUUUUUUUCUUCAAACAAAUCAUAUUUUUACAGGUUAUUUGAUUUACUUUGGACUUACCAAGUUGACUAUGUUAUAUUAGAGCAGUUUUUAUAUAAUUUAACUUAAAACUCGAAUUAAGUAAAAAUCAGGUUGUGAUAUUUUAAGAUUAAUUUACUAAGCAGAAUUUAAUAAGAACACAAAAAAGUUUCUUAUAAACUAAAUAUUGUUUUUAUCUAACAUAUAAUAUAUCACAACCCAAUAAACUAAUAUUAUUCACACCACUUGCAAAAAGUACUAGCUGUUAGUGUAGGAAGCGAUGUUGCAAAAAUACUUUCAAGUUUUUUCCAUAGUUAUUAAAUAUGGUAUAAUAAAUGGGUUGAUUUAGAACUUGAACAACACUUUGUAAAACAAAAAAACAAAUACAAAUAAAACUUCAUUAUUUUUAUAAAAAUAAUUAACCUGGAUUAACUUAUUUACCCUAACCCAAUACUCGUAUAUGUUUCUCAAAUCGAUCUCUAUGUUAUUUGGAGGAAUUGGAAUGUUUUCAAUUCACACGCUAUAAAUUAACUACUUCAGCAGCCAUUAGAAGCAAGUGAUUCUAUCAAUGUUAACAGAGGAAAUGUUAACAGCAGCCAUUAGAAGCAAGUGCUGCACCUGCGUUGUCCAAAUCAUCACCGAAAUCCCCAGAUUUUGUUGACAACUAGUCCAAGAUACAAUUCCCCUGAAAACUGCUUUAGUGUUUUAUCAUUAAGUGGUCUCCUUGUCAAUCGAUUUUCCUUUCUUCAUUGAAAGAAACAAAAACAUUCGAAUAUCUGUUCAACAUUUUUCUAAAAAAAAAAAGUUUACCUUGGAAAUUUAAGCCCAUAUAUAGAGAACGAACUUCAGACACUAUCACAAGGCCCCCCCAAACGUUGCAUUAUUAUUUUUAGAUCGUCAUUGAAAAAAAAAAAAAAAACAUUCUUCUGUCCGGUGUGGUGUGUGGUCAGUACCCAUUUCUAACAAAAAUAUAUUAAAAAUCCCACUUUCGUUAAGAGGAGAUAUCAAUAAAUUAAAUCUUUUAUGGCAUUGAAUUUUUUAUAAAUUAAAUCUUUUAUGGCAUUGAAUUUUUUAUUUUUGCCAUUUUCGAAGAUAAAUGCUAGUGCCUAGUGGUCUAUCUUUUAUUGUCAAAGUAUAUUAAUGCUUCCGGGCUCGUCGAGAUUACAAACAGUCAUUGUUUCACAUUUUAAACUAAAUUGCAUAUAUAUAUUUUAAACUAAAUUGCAUAUAUAUAUAUAUAAUCAUGACACAAAGAAAACUACAAAUUUGAGUUAUACAGUCAAAAUUAUAAAAGUACGUACGUAGUUCUAUUAAGCAAAAAUCUUAUAAAAUAUAAAAAGAUAAAUUUAAAUACCCUAAAUAUUUAUAAAUAAUUAAGAAACAAUCAAUCAGGAAAAAUAAUAAAGCUAAAAUCCAAAAUUAACAAGGAAAAAAAUCUAAAUUAUGGUCCAAAAUUAACUUCAAAGGCAAUUUUGAGAGCUUUCAAAGUAAAUUGACAAAUCCGAGUAGAGAGCAAACUUGAGGCGUACACAGAAGCUUAUUAAACCAUCCAUUUCUUUUUGUAAGUCUCAUCCAGAAAAUCCUACGCUAAUUUUUCCGCAUCAAAUUAGAAUAUUAUGGAGCACUUGAAUUUAUAGAGACGAUGAUUCCCUCUUUACAGAUAAAGACACAAGCUUCGCCCUCAUGGCCUCACUAUCCAAUGUGUAAGUUCCUUCCAUGACCUGUAAAAUUAAUCCACAAAGUAAAAAAUUAGACUCUAAACUUUACGAAAGACAGAAACAGAAGGGCAUACAAAAAAACACAAGCAAAUGUUAUAGCACCUGAAGAUGUAAAUUAUAGAAGACCCUGUCCCCAAAUGACUCAAAGGAAGAAGAGUUUUUUAGAACAAGUCCAUCUUCCUCUAAGGUGAGCAAGAUUUCUGAUAAUGGACUUUUAUGGUUCUUGUAAGUGGAAAUAUGAACGACAACUUCUUUAUCACUAAGCUGGCUUGCCGAUACCGAUGAUAAAGAGCUAUACACGGUGUCAUUUCUUUGAUUUUCUUGAUGAAUAUUUAUACCACCUUGCUUUGAUAACUUUGAUAAAAGCUCCUCCUUUCUUUGAACCAGUCUCUCGACUUGCUGUUGAAGCUCUGGUAGGUACUUAAGCGCACGAGAAACAGUGGCCGGUACGCUUAAUUUCUUCAAAAACGAUAUCAUCACAACCAUCAAACUCAAGACCUACCUAUGUUUAAAUUAAAAGCUUCUCUUGAUUAUAACGACUUGCCUCUUAGGGUUCAAUAAGAAACGUACCAUUUGAUCUGCUGCUGGGAGAAGUGAACGAAGUGAAGAAUACAAACUUUUAAUCUUCUUGCGACGGUCACGUUCAUUAGCGUUGUGGCUAAGUUUCUUGACCAUGAUAGGAUCAACACUUCCACUAUAUGCCGUGAAUGAUGGGGAGCGAUCAAGCUUUACUAUUUGUGGCUGAGAUGGAGGGAAUUGAGUAAUUAAUGACUCUUGGGUUUCACUAUCUCUAAAACUUAGGUAGUUCCGCUCAUGGCUUGUGGGUUCCUCUACGGGCCAUCCAAAUGUUGAAAACAAAGUAGCAGGAGAUAAUUCUAACAUUUUGGAUUAGGUUUUAGGCUUUUGAAACUUAAUUAGUUUGCUAAGCAAGUGAGAGAUAUGAUUAUGACUUUAUAUCAUGAAGCUCUCAUCAUAUUUGCCUCAUCAUUUGAUCAUGUAUGCCUCAUCAUUUGAUUUUUUUAUAAUAUCAUUUGUUAUUAAAUGGUGAGAAAAUCAUUAAAAAAAUUUGAUGCCCGAAAUGUAGUUAUUUUUAUAAUAUAAGGGACUAAUGAAAAUGAAUUAAUCUACCUAGCUAGCUUCUCGAUCUUUUGCAAGAAUAUUCUUGAUGCCGUGGUACUGUAGUGAUACAACUUAUGUAUAUGAAUAGGCAGUCAAAAUAGUGAUGUGCAUAUGAAACUAUAUGCUUCUAAACAAAAGGUCUCGCUAUAAAAAUAUGAAACUGGGGAGAAAUGCUAUCAAAAUAUUACACCAUACAAGAAGGACGAAUCUUGGUCGAAUUCCAUUCCCAGUGUUGUAACCCAAUUUUGGAUCUACCAAGAUUUUCUCAAAUGUUAUUUUAUUUCUAUUAUUAUUUAUAAAAAUCCAAAAAAAUUAAGAAAAAGGAAAAUUCAAAAAUAUAUUUUUCUCGAGUCAACCGCAUCUUUCCAUAAGAACCGAUUCCACUGGGUCAAUACAGGUCAAACCAUGUCGGCCAAGUAAAAAAUGAGUUUUCGGGCCAAUCACCGCCGCACGAUCUUUCCAUCAGAAAUCCAACGGAUCACAGGCCUCAGCUGCACCGGUGUACCGUGUUUGCGUUCUCACCAUAGCAUAACCCAGAGCAUCUCUCUCCUCUCGCCGACGACUCCCUCUCUCUCCUCCGAUCUCCCAUAUCCGGCCAUAGAAAGCUUCCAAACCACCACAGAAAGGUCGCUAUCCUCAUAUAAAGCCAAUCCCCGGUCGGUUUCAUCGUUGUAGCCGCCCCGUUUGGCCGGAAAAGGGCCGCGAUCGUCGGCUGCCACAGAAGCUUCAAACCGACGAUUCUCCCUCGUCAGCUAUCAACGGCCGUCAAGACCACCACCAUCAGAACCCUUGACAUCAUAUCUACCAGGAUCGACCAUCGGUUGGCCAGAAAUCCCGCCGGAAAAUUUCGCCGCCUCCAACAGUAGCCGCGCGUGUGCCACACGCGCCGCCAGUGGCAUUUUCGUGAUUUUCAGAGAAAUUCGAGGGUAUUUCAGUAUUUUACCUAUACAGUGGCACUCAGGUAAUUUUUCGGGGUUUCUACUGGUAUUUUUGAUAUUUUUUAUAUAUAAAUGCUUGUAAAUUUUCUUGCAUGUUGUAAAAAAAUACAAAAACCAAAGUCGACACGUCUCUUUUUUCAAAAGGACCGAUGUCAAAAAUGUAAAUACCAAAUAUGGAUUAUGUCCAUUAUUUUUUGGUAACCCGGACGUAAUUCUCCUUUUUAGGGUUAAAACGUCAGUUUUUAGACGAGUCUCCUAAUUUUUAGGGACUGAUGUUAUUUUUAACGUGUCUCCUAUUUUUAGGGACCGACGUUAACCAUUUGAAAAAAAACAAAUUACCAAUAAACCCAAAAUAUAAUGGAUUAUAUCCAUUAUUUCUUUUGAUAACCCAGACGUAAUUCUCCUUUUUAGGGUUGAAACGUCAUAUUUUAGACGAGUCUCCUAAUUUUUAGGGACUGAUGUCAUUUUUAACGUGUCUCCUAUUUUUAGGGACCGACGUUAAUCAUUUAAAAAAGAAUUACAAAUAAGCCCAAAAUAUAAUCGCAUUUGAAUCAAAUAAAAACACACAAGUAAGGGUAACCUUUCUUUUGAAAGGAUGUUUUAAGGGUGGUGUCUACCUUCCCUUAAUCAUAACUAACCCCGUACCCGAAUCUCUGGGACCAGUGUCUAAUUUGGGAUUUCUAGUUCCCUCAAAUUACUAGAUGGCGACUCCAAUAAAAUCUUUGUUUCCCCCAAUCGAGAAAAAACCCUUUUUGUUAAAUAAACAAAAAAAAGCGGGAGCCGUCGCCCGACGUCGUGUAUCGACAGAAUGGCGACUCCACUGGGGACUUAGGGUUGAGCCAACUGCUUGUGUUUGCUUUUCAUUUGCUCUUUCUUAUCGCUAUUUAUUUUUGGGCACUUAUUUUAUUUGCAUUAUUUAUUUUAUGCAAUAUCUACUGUGAUUCUUUUCAAUUUUUCAUUUCAUAACAUACAUACAUAUUAUUUAUUUGUGUAUUCACACACUUCACUGUGAACCCAUAAAAGCUCUGGACCCGAGCUCGUCCUUUUUAAGAUUAGAAAAGAGAGAUUCAAGUGGCAAGUGUGACUUAUGUCCACUGAUGCUCAUUUGGACUUUUGCUUGGAUUGUAACUCACCCUAUGCAACUAGUACUGUGGAGUCUUUCUCCCCUACUCAUGUUGUAUAAGGUUAAGAGGCCGAUUACUUCACGAGUAAUUCGGGCAAUCUAAGAACCGGAGAAUAUCUUUAAGGAUAGACUAAACUGAGCCAAACCUUAUGAGCUAGAUCCUAUCAAGUAGGAUAUACCCAUUAGGACACGAACAAAUGUCAAUGCAUGAACAUGCAUGUUCAUAUACAUUUCAUGUGCUCAUUAAGUCUCCACCGAUCCUUACAGGAAGUGUGAGAUGGAAAAACCCAUUACUAUUGAGGAAUUUUUGACCAGAUCAGAAUUGAGCCAACAUGAUGAAGGGGAUUGUUUGCCAUCAGAAUUUGAGUCUCAGUUGCCAGAGCAUGUUAAAUUAGAUGACAGACCACUUGGUACAGGACAACUGCUAGACUGCUGGGAAAAGUUAUCCUCUCAUGAUCAAAUCACUUUUCAGAAACAAUAUGGGGAUCUAUCACAUUUACUGAAAAUUAGGGUCCAACAUGCUUGUUUUCAGGCCAUGAUAGGGUUUUGGGAUCCAGAAUAUCGGUGCUUCACAUUUGAUAUUGUGGAUAUGACUCCUACUAAAUUGUCCCAAGUCAGAAAAGGUGUACUUUUACACACCUAUAGAGCAUGCACUUUCUAACUUUGCUUGGAUUACCCAGAUAGACUGUCAACUAGCAAAAUCACAUGCAACUAAACGAGGAAAUAGCCAGGGUUGGUUUUGGAAUGAACUAGAAGCCAUAUUCAAGAAGAGAUUACAUGAUGAAAGCAAUGAAAUUCGAUUGAGAAUUUUGGCCUUAGGCAUAUAUGGUUUGGUUCUUUUCCCAUCUGCUGAGGGAAUGAUCGAUUUUGAGGCUGUUAAUGUAUUCAAAAAUGUGGUGACCCUUAAAAUUAACCCUGCUACAGCAAUAUUGGCAGAAACUUUCUCAUCCUUGAAUUAUUGUAGAAAAGCUAGAAGGGGUCGUUUAAGAUGUUGCUUACAGUUAUUGUUUGUCUGGACUGUGAGUCAUAUGAUUGAGGGGAAGAUUUCAGGUUUGGUUGGCACCCCAUGGCAUCUUUAUUCUCAGCUGGAGAAUUUUGCUGAAAAACACUUGCAUGAAGUAGGAAGAACCACAUGGGAAUCAAUGUUCCAAAGUCUAAGUAAAUCUCAAUUUCAUUGGAGAAGUCGAUAUGCUUAUUUCAAAUCUUAUCUGGCGUAUUGUGGUGAGUACUCAUGGGUCCCGUUGAUAGGAGCCCGCUGCUGUAUUAGUUACUGUCCUAACCUGGUUUUACGACAGUUUGGAUUUGAGCAGUUUAUUCCAAGGACUACUAAACUGGCAACAUUUUAUGAAGAUUUCAAGACCUCAAAGAAAUUAUUGGAGUCAGUGAAGAAGGCAUGGAAACAUCCUGGUAGGGUUACUUCUGCUAAGAGAGUAGAAGGAAAAACAACUGAAGGAUAUCCAAUAUGGCAAAAGAAGAGAGGGAAAGGGUACAAAGUUCCUCCUUUUGAAGGACCACCCAGGUCUUUGAUUCAGUCUUCUGAAGACAUACACGAAGAAGUUCACGCCCAACAAGAAUCUUAUAACCUAAGUUUGAAUGCUGAAGUGGAAGAGUUAGGGGCUAAAAAAAGAAAGUUAGAAUCUAAUCUAGCCACUCGAGAAAAAGCUUUGGUUAUCAUAAAACAGGAAAAUGAUGACUUGUCAGCUCAGCUACAACAUCAACAACUUGAUUUCCAGCAAUUACAAGAAAAAUAUGUACUUUUGUCAGAAGAUAAGACGAAGCAAGAUGUCAACAUGAAGAGAUGGGUUAGAAGAGCAUCGAAAGCUAAGGAAAUGGUAUUAAAGUUGGAAGAGACAAAUAAAUCACUUCAGGAGCAACAUCAAAAGCAAGAUGUAAUAAUUGCCAAUUUAGAUGAGCAUUUAGACCAUUUGCUUUUUAUUGAGCAAACUUUAUCAUCAGAAAAAGAAAAGGCAGAAAAAGAAGCAGAAUGUUGGGCUUCUGAAGCUAUGCGCUAUCAUGUACAAGCAGAUGAUGCCAAGAAUUAUGCUUUAGGAUUAAGAGGCCUAGCCCAACAAAUAGCAGAUGGUGAGCCAAUGACCAGAAAUGAAUUCCAUCAGUUUUUUGGGUUGAUCAGAGAUGGAAUUAAUGAGAUCUCAGCAUACGACGGUCCAAGGCUUUGGAAAGAUUGACUUGUUGUACUUUUAAUAUUAUCAAUUAAUAAAAGACAAUUUCAUCAUCUUUUUGUUAUGAGAAAUGUUUAUUCUGAUUGAUGGCAUCAAAUUUCUCCCCUAAAUCGGUUCAAGUUCCUGUAGGUUUGGAGUCCUCAGUGAGAACUUUCUUAAGAGAAUCUGAUCUGGUCUAUUCCUCGUCAUAAGGAAACCUUGAAACAAAUAACAAGCAUGCAUAAAACAUAUGGCAUUUUGCAUCCAUUUGUGCAUUUCAUUCAUUUAUCAAGCAUGCACACGGUUGAAACAUAAGUUCCCCCACCUGCUGAGGUCUACUCGAUUCAUAAAUCUGUUUGAAUAAGUGUUGAGCUUCAAGAAUGGAAAGGAAACGUCUGCAUAGUCUCUUGUGUGGAACACUACUUGUCCACGUUCCAUUGAAGUUGCACCUCUCCUUUUUCAUCAUGAACAAUGACAGCAAUGCCUUCAGUCACAAUUAAUGACGACAACCCUUGUUCUCGUUCAACUGCACUGAUAGUCGUUCAAAGCCUUCACAUAUUCCAAGAGCACAUAAUAGCUGCUAGCUUUCUGUUCCUGUUGCAUUGACCUUUUUUCCAGACAUCUCUAUUGUGAACACCAUUCCGAUCCAGCAGUAUCGGAUGCUGCUCUGAGAAAAACAAGAGCAGACAUUGAAACUUUAACAGAGCAGAAUUCCCACUAUAGGUGUUUGUUUGUUGCACUGCCAGUGAGGAAUCAAAGAGGAGACAAAAGGGUUUUCAGAUUCAUCAGUUUCUCUUCCAGUUGAGACAACGCAUGAUUCACACGUCAGCAGUGGUGGUGCUGCAUGUUUCUAUGCGCUACCAAGAUUGCCUGGCUGUUGGAAAGUUUCUACCAAUCCACAAAUAACCACAACAACAUUGGAAAGAUUGGUAUGAUGUUGUGAGGAUUGUCGAAAGAUUGAACAAGCUACAAAGAGGGGAAUGAUUGAAGAUUCUACCACGAAUUCUAGAACAAUAAUGAGAGAUGAAUCAUAGGAUGCCUCUAACGAUGGGAAGCCUUAAUUAUGUGGUCCAACCAGGUCUCACUGUAACAUCAAUUGCUCAAAUGUCUUUGCCACGAUUGACAUACCUCNNNNNNNNNNNNNNNNNNNNNNNNNNNNNNNNNNNNNNNNNNNNNNNNNNNNNNNNNNNNNNNNNNNNNNNNNNNNNNNNNNNNNNNNNNNNNNNNNNNNNNNNNNNNNNNNNNNNNNNNNNNNNNNNNNNNNNNNNNNNNNNNNNNNNNNNNNNNNNNNNNNNNNNNNNNNNNNNNNNNNNNNNUAUCUCCUUUUGAGUGCGCCUUUGAGCCCUCACCUCCAUUUUGGGUGCGCUUUUGAGCCCUCAUCCCUUUGGUAGUGUGUUUUCUAACCCUACCUCCUUUUGAGUGCGCCUUUGAGCCCUCACCUUCCUUUUGAGUGCGCCUUUGAGCCCUCACCUCCAUUUUGGGUGCGCUUUUGAGCCCUCAUCCCUUUGGUAGUGUGUUUUCUAACCCUACCUCCUUUUGAGUGCGCCUUUAAGCCCUCACCUCCAUUUUGAGUGUGCCUUUGAGCCCUCAACUCCUUUUGAGUGCGCCUUUGAGCCCUCACCUCCAUUUUGGGUGCGCUUUUGAGCCCUCGUCCCUUUGGUAGUGUGUUUUCUAACCCUACCUCCUUUUGAGUGCGCCUUUAAGCCCUCACCUCCAUUUUGAGUGUGCCUUUGAGCCCUCAACUCCUUUUGAGUGCGCCUUUGAGCCCUCACCUCCAUUUUGGGUGCGCUUUUGAGCCCUCGUCCCUUUGGUAGUGUGUUUUCUAACCCUACCUCCUUUUGAGUGCGCCUUUGAGCCCUCAACUCCUUUUAGGUGCGCCUUUGAGCCCUCAUCCCUUAGUAAAAGAUACAUGAAUAUCAUUGGGGGAUUUUGUGCCAUUCAGUUGAACGGUUGCAAUAAUUUCAAGAAUCAAGUUGAGUUUGUGCAAAAUGACGUCAUCGGCCAUAUUGUCACCUCAACAUCCUCAGAUUGACAAGUGAUCGAAAUGCUUGGCAAAACACAGAUAUCGCCAGAAAAGCUGGUCCAAGAAGAGUGUUAAACUGUCGAUCCUUUUUGUUAUGAGUUUUGUCAUUCUGCAUUUUAUUUUGGGAUCACAUCUCAUCUUUUAACGAAACAUGUCUUUUCUUUGUCCCUUUGUUGUUAUGAAAGCAUGAGAUGUUUCUUUCAAAGGUUAUUUUGACAAAAUAUUUUGAUCAAGCUCCAACAUGCGUUUAAGAUUAGUCAAUCCUGAAGAUUAAAAUUAUGUUGCUUGAAUGACUCAAUGCUUACUGAAAUGACAUGAGAUGACCAAGAAACUUUUGAGCUCACACAUGAAAUUGAACCACACACCAUAUAGCUAAGUUUUAGCAGUAUGCAUAAUGACACGUAGUGGAUUCAGUAGUUAUGGACUCGUGAAUUAUGAUUCUUACAAGUCUAAAUCAUUACAUUGGAUGAGGUCAAAAUUUAUCGGUUCUAACCGACCUUGCUUGAGAUGAGAAAAGGCCAUUUUUGUUUCAUCCUUUCACAAUUCUUGAAAUAUAUAUCCCUUGCAGUCCCAUUUUGAGCUGAUAGAAUAUUUUUUUCAUAAAAAAACCCUGACUAGGAUCACACCCCACACUAGGGGCAAUGAGAGUUUUUUUUUUCCUAGAAAAGACGAAGACAAUGUUAGAGUCGAUGGAUCAAAGGGAAGGCUUAGAACAAAAGUCCAAUGAUUGAGAAAGGGCUAGAAGAAGAAAGCCAAAGAUUGAUAAAGACACAACAAAUACCAAAAGUUAACACGAAAAAAUCAAGUGUUAUGUCUUUUGGUGUGUCUAUGAUAAAGCCUUUAUGAUCUUCAAAAGAUUAGAUUGGCUAUUCAUCAAAGAAAAGUUGGAUUUGCGUUAUGACCUAUGUUAAACAAAUUUUGAUUUUUGAGAUUAACAAGGUUAUAUGUCACUGUCUCUACCAAGACAACGUGAGGAAAAGAGAUUGAUGAGUAAUUGAUGGUGAUCCUCGGUUCUUGAAACCCUCAAACACCUUUUGAGCUUGUGAAAUUCCUUUCUUUCAUAGCCAUGAACCAUAGCCUACAUUACGUGCUUUAGAAAGUCCUUUUUAAUCAAGUAAGCAAUCUGAACCGAUAAAUGGCGAUCUCAAAAAUUGAAGAGUUCUUCAUACAGGUCGUGACUUCAUGAAUCAAGCUACUGAUUAUUAUGCAUGCUGAUAAAAUUGUUGCUAAGAAAAAGAAACAAUCUUUCUUGAUAAAGCCUCAAGUUUUGACUCGGGUACCUUGUUUUCCACAAAUUCAUAAAAGGUCACCUCAUCACAGACAAUCAAAAGAUAUACCCAAAAUUAGAGUUUAAAAUGGAUACAAAGAACCAUGGAGAAACCAUUUUAAUCUUACAACGAUUCAAUUUCUUUUCUCUCAAAAUACAAGACAAUCAAAAGACUAUAUUGAAUAGCGUGUGUUGGAUCUUUGACCAAUAAAGCUUGAUUUCCAAAUAUACUUUCAAAAAUUGACAUCUCUCUGAUUUCAUUUCAACAAUCAGACUUGAAUAGCCAUGACCUUUGAAAUGUGAGAUUUGAUUCCAAAAUAAGAAAGAUUUUCAAACAAGAAAAACAUCAACCAGGUUUGCAAAUUCCUGACAGAAAUGACAUCAAUUCUUCUCGACACUGAUGAGGGCAAUACAAUGGACCUCUGAGAAGGAAAACAAACAAUGUUUAAAUCAGCUGGGGGAUAGAGAUGAUCAAAUGAUGAAUCAAUGAACUGAGGACAAUAUGGUUCAAAGAAAGAUAAUCAGUGAAUGAGCACAUUCAGAUCAAUUAAGGGCAAUGAUGUUCAAGAACGAUUUAUGAUCCAGUAAACCCCGACAACAAUUAAGAGCAAAGAUGUACCUGAAGGACAUCUUCAUAUCUUCAUCUUGGUUUAUCAUCUCCAAUAUGGCUAUGACUAUUGAAAGAUGUUAUCACAUGAUUGCUUUUGAAUGAAUGUUGGAAGGAUGCAUCGCACCCACCUAGACUGACCGUGGGACCAUCUGAUUUGAAGCUCAAAUGCGCAUUGCACCACAUGAGUAUGGGUGAUAAAAGCAACAUCAUUGAUGAGGCCAAGACACUUCUUUUCACAAUCUGGUUAGAUGAGUUGAGAAGAACUUAUUGAGAAAGAAACUGAGCAUACAACGAUGAGCUUUUUACUGCAAAGUAUGAAAUGCAGGUCUGAAUGACAUGACAGUUCCAUGAAAGUGGAUGACCGCAUAUACUUAAAGGGUAUGUUUCAACUGGAGGUGAGUUCAUAACUGAUUGACAAUCUUGAUGGGUGUUGGCACGAUGCGCACAAUCAAUCAGAGAAUAAUUCUUGAAAGAAUCCAGGAGAUGAACGAUUUGUUAAGCUUCUUAAUGAUAAAUCAAGCAACACUACACUUGGGGGCAUUGUCAAGUGAUAAACAGCGAGAGCAGUAAUUAUCGCGGACAACCCAAGAUGGGCACUGCAUUUACAGCUGAGUGGAUGGCUAGCACAUGAAUGAGCCAAUGCAUCGAAAGAACAAAGAAGGCUUUGGAAUGCAAACAAAGCCACCCUAUGACGAUGAAGCAUCAAAGAGGGGGGAACCUAUAUUUCAAAAACAGGUAAGAUGCAUUGCAUAUCAUCUAACUUCACAUGCAUUGCAUAAUUGUUUUGCCGAUAUUCACGAAACAAAAUUCCACUGCGAUCCAACGAGACUCACAUGACUUGAANNNNNNNNNNNNNNNNNNNNNNNNNNNNNNNNNNNNNNNNNNNNNNNNNNNNNNNNNNNNNNNNNNNNNNNNNNNNNNNNNNNNNNNNNNNNNNNNNNNNNNNNNNNNNNNNNNNNNNNNNNNNNNNNNNNNNNNNNNNNNNNNNNNNNNNNNNNNNNNNNNNNNNNNNNNNNNNNNNNNNNNNNNNNNNNNNNNNNNNNNNNNNNNNNNNNNNNNNNNNNNNNNNNNNNNNNNNNNNNNNNNNNNNNNNNNNNNNNNNNNNNNNNNNNNNNNNNNNNNNNNNNNNNNNNNNNNNNNNNNNNNNNNNNNNNNNNNNNNNNNNNNNNNNNNNNNNNNNNNNNNNNNNNNNNNNNNNNNNNNNNNNNNNNNNNNNNNNNNNNNNNNNNNNNNNNNNNNNNNNNNNNNNNNNNNNNNNNNNNNNNNNNNNNNNNNNNNNNNNNNNNNNNNNNNNNNNNNNNNNNNNNNNNNNNNNNNNNNNNNNNNNNNNNNNNNNNNNNNNNNNNNAUCAUGUCUCUAGCCACAGCUACAGCAAUAUCUUCAUUGUCCAUUACAGUAUCCUCUAUUGUAACUGGACGACCAUUCACUUCAAAGGUAGUACGCCAAACUGCAGGCUCUACUACAGGAACAAGGUUUGGGUUAGCAUUGGAAGAAGAGGAAGACAUGGUUAAAGCUUCAAAAGUUAAGAACUUUGAGAGUAUUGAAAAUGCAAGAAGUUGAUGAUGUCUUUUGCCAAAUACUGCGUGAUUUAUAAGGAAUUUACUCCUACCAUCGUUUUGAACGGCAGCUCGAAUCCCAACCAUACAUACAUGACUUCCUUGAGAAGCUUUCCUCAUUUUUGGGAUCCACAAAUCGAAUCCCAACCAUACAUACAAGACUUUCUUGAGAAGCUUUCCUCAUUUUUGGGAUUUACAAAUCAGAUCUCAACCGUACAUACAAGACUUUCUUGAGAAGCUUUCCUCAUUUUUGGGAUCCACAAAUCGAAUCCCAACCGUACAUACAAGACUUUCUUGAGAAGCUUUCCUCAUUUUUGGGAUCCACAAAUCGAAUCCCAACCGUACAUACAAGACUUUCUUGAAAAGCUUUCCUCAUCUUUGGGAUCCAAUUACAAAUCAAAUCCCAACCGUACAUACAAGACUUUCUUGAGAAGAUUUUAUCAUCUCUGAGAUCGAUUUACAAAUCAGAUCUCAACCAUACAGGUAUGACUUCCUUUAGAAUUUUUCAUCAACCCUGAAGCUGAUUGUUGAAAUCACUUUCAUGUAUUUCACAAAAAUGUUGAAAUCACUUUCAUGUAUUUCACAAAAAUGUUGAAAUCACUUUCAUGUAUUUCACAGACGGGUCGGUUCACAAAAACAUUGUUGAAAUCACUUUCAUGUAUUUCACAAAAAAAAAAACCAAUGUUGAAAUCACUUUCAUGUAUUUCACAAAACCAUUGUUGAAAUCACUUUCAUGUAUUUCACAAUGCUAAUCUGAAAUCACUUUCAUGUGUUUCAGAAAACAAAUGUUGAAAUCACUUUCAUGUAUUUCACAAUGCUAAUCUGAAAUCACUUUCAUGUGUUUCAGAAAACAAAUGUUGAAAUCACUUUCAUGUAUUUCACAAAAAAAAAAAAAAAAAAAACAAAUGUUGAAAUCACUUUCAUGUAUUUCACAACAUUAAUCUGAAAUCACUUUCAUGUAUUUCACAAGAUCAAUAUUGAAAACACUUUCAUGUUUUUCAUUUGGGCAGGUCGCCCAUAAGAAUUAGACCAACUGAAAAAUCUGUGUAUUUUUCAACACUUCCAUCAUUUUUCUUUACAAAACUUACUAUGCAAAGUCAAAAGAAAAUGAAAUUUCCAAUGCCUUUGCACCGUAAGCAUUGUAAAGAGGGGGCAACUGUUGUAACCCAAUUUUGGAUCUACCAAGAUUUUCUCAAAUGUUAUUUUAUUUCUAUUAUUAUUUAUCCAAAAAAAUUAAGAAAAAGGAAAAUUCAAAAAUAUAUUUUUCUCGAGUCAACCGCAUCUUUCCAUAAGAACCGAUUCCACCGGGUCAAUACAGGUCAAACCAUGUCGGCCAAGUAAAAAAUGAGUUUUCGGGUCAAAACCGCCAUUUUCGGUCAAAACCGAGUCCACCGAGUCAAUACGGGUCAAAAUAUGUCGACCAGGGUAAAAAAUGAGUUUCAAGCCGUUUCGGGUCAAAACCGUCAUUUUCGGUCAAAACCGAGUCCAUCGAGUCAAUACGGGUCAAACCAUGUCGACCAGGGUAAAAAAUGAGUUUCAGGCCGUUUUCGGGUCAAAACCGAGUCCACCGGGUCAAUACGGGUCAAACCAUGUCGACCAGGGUAAAAAAUGAGUUUCAGGUCAUUUUGGGUCAAAACUGUUAUUUUCGGUCAUUAAAAUUGAUUUUUAGCGGUUGAUUCAGGCUUUUUCUAAUACUGAUUUGAAUUUUUUAACUUUACCUAUAUAAAUAUUUAUUAUUAUACAUAAUAAAAACAAAAGUAAUACAAUUUGUCAGCGGGCAGUUGCGCCGAAAGCAGGUGAUCCAUUUUUUUCUUUAAAGCAGAUCGAUGGAUGAUUUUGAUGUCCCCUCUAAUUGGCUAUAAAUAGCCAGUGACAGUGCGCCAGAGGGGGAAGAAAAAGAAAAGAAAAGAGUAUCCGGAUCACUAUUCAAGUUUUUUUUACUAUUUCUUCACGAGAGUAGGAUAUUAAUUUUUAUUAAAAACAAUAUGAAAAAUACCAAAUAUAUCCUACCCGUUAGAUCUAAUAGUGUUUAGAUCUGAACCGUUGAUUUAAGAGUAUACAAUAGGGCUUACCACACCAGAUUAAAACCCCAACACAUCUCAGCCCUUGAAAAAAUCUGAGCUUUGAUCCCGUUGCGCCACGUCACCCGGUGUACCGAGACUUAGGUGCACCGCGGCACACCGGAUCACACCUCUGUUCAUCCGGACCGUCCGAUCAACCUGCAGAUCGGGCCAAUCACAGCCGCACGAUCUUUCCAUCAGAGAUCCAACGGAUCACAAGCAUCAACUGCACCGGUGUACCGUGCUAGUGUUCU